GGGGAUUUCAUUUCACUGUGAGAAGGGCUUUGCAGAGGUUUAGGGUUCUAAACGAAACCACAGAGACGCAAAAAUGUCAGCUUCAGUCGCCGGAAGAGCCACAAUUCUGCGCGCGUUUUGCAGAGCAGCAACAACAACGCCGCCAAGAAUUUCAAGAACCACAUGCCUCCCUUCCAUUCGCUCCAAUUCGAUGCCUCGUUGUCCCACCUUACGGGUGUUGCGAAGGGAAUUGAGCUCGCUUCAACCACUCCACAGCUCCAUUGCUGCUGCUUGCCUUGUUUCUAAGCUCCCAAAUUUAGCUGCCUCCUCCUCUGAAGGUCACUCCUACUCCUCCCUUUCAAUUUGGGACUGUUAGUUUCUUUGGUUUAGCUGUUAAACUACCAGGUUGACGAAUACCGAAAACAGUGUGUAGUAACAAUGUUAAACGUCUCUUAGUUUUACUGAGCAGGUAGUUAAGAGUGACAACAUUUCCGAUAUUGACAGGGCCGACUUGUAGUGUUAGCUCCCUAUUGAGUCUGUGUGAGAGUUGUAGGAAAAUUAAUGUUAGUUUUAUAUCAAUUUGGCAUAUUAGUUUCUUUGGUUUUGUUAGAAAUACCCGUAUAGGAGUUGUGUUUAGCUGUAAAAUUAGCAGGUCGAACCGAAUCAUCAUCGAGGAGUGUGUUUAG